AUUGAACGCUGGCGGAAUGCUUUACACAUGCAAGUCGAACGGCAGCACGGGGGCAACCCUGGUGGCGAGUGGCGAACGGGUGAGUAAUAUAUCGGAACGUGCCCAGUCGUGGGGGAUAACGUAGCGAAAGUUACGCUAAUACCGCAUACGAUCUACGGCUGGAAUCGGGGGAUCGCAAGACCUCGCGCGAUUGGAGCGCCCGAAAUCCGAUUAGGUAGUUGGUGGGGUAAAGGCUCACCAAGCCAACGAUCUGUAGCUGGUCUGAGAGGACGACCAGCCACACUGGGACUGAGACACGGCCCAGACUCCUACGGGAGGCAGCAGUGGGGAAUUUUGGACAAUGGGCGCAAGCCUGAUCCAGCCAUUCCGCGUGCAGGACGAAGGCCUUCGGGUUGUAAACUGCUUUUGUACGGAACGAAAAAGCCUUGGCUAAUACCCAGGGUCCAUGACGGUACCGUAAGAAUAAGCACCGGCUAACUACGUGCCAGCAGCCGCCGCAG
rnacentral:rRNA from 1 species